rnacentral:rRNA from 1 species
AUGGCGACCGGCGCACGGGUGAGUAACGCGUAUCCAACCUGCCCAUAACCACGGCACAGCCCGUCGAAAGGCGGAUUAAUGCCGUAUGAGGUUCCAGAGUAGCAUUAUUAUGGAACGAAAGGAUUGGCGGUUAUGGAUGGGGAUGCGUCCGAUUAGAUCGUUGGUAGGGUAACGGCCUACCAAGUCAACGAUGGAUAGGGGUUCUGAGAGGAAGAUCCCCCACAUUGGAACUGAGACACGGUCCAAACUCCUACGGGAGGCAGCAGUGAGGAAUCUUGGUCAAUGGGCGCAAGGCCUGAACCAGCCACGUAGCGUGAAGGAAGACUGCCCUUAGGGUUGUAAACUUCUUUUAUAAGGGAAUAACGUCAGUAACGUGUUACUGAUUGCAUGUACCUUAUGAAUAAGGAUCGGCUAACUCCGUGCCAGCAGCCGCGGUAAUACGGAGGAUCCGAGCGUUAUCCGGAUUUAUUGGGUUUAAAGGGUGCGUAGGCGGGAGCGGAAGUCAGCUGUGAAAUUUUAUGGCUCAACCAUAAACUUGCAGUUGAAACUCCGUUUCUUGAGUACACAUGAGGUGGGCGGAAUUUGUGGUGUAGCGGUGAAAUGCUUAGAUAUCACGAAGAACUCCGAUUG